ACGAAGGGUGCAAGCGUUGUUCGGAAUCAUUGGGCGUAAAGCGCGCGCAGGCGGAUUGAUAAGUCAGGUGUGAAAUCUCGGAGCUCAACUCCGAAACUGCGCCUGAAACUAUUAGUCUAGAAUGUCAGAGGGGGUAGGGGAAUUUCACGUGUAGGGGUAAAAUCCGUAGAGAUGUGAAGGAACACCGGUGGCGAAGGCGCCUACCUGGAUGACUAUUGACGCUGAGGCGCGAAAGCGUGGGGAGCAAACAGGA
rnacentral:rRNA from 1 species